rfam:Acinetobacter baumannii str. SDF, complete genome.
AGAUUUUCAACGGCACUUUUUAAAAAAGGAGGACAUCAUGCCAACACUACAAGGUAAAACACAGUAACGGUUUGGCACGAUGUCAGCUCACGGACAAGUGUACAAAUUUAAUUCACUUGUCCGAAUGCUCGAAUUUAAGACCUAGCAUUCGCUAGGUUUUUUUAUGCCUAUUCGGACAAU